UAUUUUUGCGCCACGUUUUAGGAUAGUCCUAUUUCGUUACAUAAUAAUCAUUUAAAGAAUAUUUGCAUG
rnacentral:ncRNA from 1 species